rnacentral:lncRNA from 1 species
UCUUUAACCAAACCCAACCUCCCCAAUUCGCCGCCUUCCCCGCUCCCACAACCACACGUUCCCGUGUGAGGGCUUAUUGCCUCCAGCCAGCCAGCGUCCUUCGCCCCCACAUUCACGAGGUUUGGAGCCGGCCUCACCCGCGGAGGCGGACACCGCCCACCCGCGCGUGCGCACUACGCAGUCAUCCUGCGACCUCCAGAAUCCACCGGGGUGCAGCGAGGCUGUGGAAAGUCCCACCCAGAACGUGAGUUUUAACUUCUAGUCAUGGCGAAUGAUCGCAGGAGAGCACAGACUGGACCCUGCUACGAUCUCUCUUGGAGUGGAUCAGACUGAUGAUCACCAACAACCAACUCAUUCCCGGAUAAGGAAGAAGAGAGUGUCACCUACUUCAGUGUGGUUUCAACCCUACUUCUGCAUCUUAAAGACACUGUGUACAACGUUGGACACUGUGCAGGAUGAUGCCACUUCAUCUUGGAUGCUAAUCUGCCAUGUUGACUUCUGAUUAACCCCAGGCCCAGGAAUGCCUCAAGAUUUCUACUUUACUUACUGUUGCUUGUGUAAGCCAAGACAACCUUGAUGUUAUCAUAAACAUGUACUUACCUAAGUCCUGUCCUUUGGCAAAUUAUGGGCUAUGAGACACAGCAUUCUUGCCUUUCCCUGAGGGGUCAAUUUCAGCGAUCCUACACAUUCCUUCUGAAGCACUUAUGCUCUUUCUAUAUGGUAUGUAAGCUCUCGGUCUGGGGAGUAACAGUGCAGAGAUCUACCUGUCUUGUUGCCACAUGUUUCUAAACUUUCCAAUAAAUCACCUUCUACUGACAAACUGG